GUCUACGGCCAUACCACCCUGAACGCGCCCGAUCUCGUCUGAUCUUGGAAGCUAAGCAGGGUCGGGCCUGGUUAGUACUUGGAUGGGAGAGUUACAAGAGAAAAAAAAACACCACUUUGGUUU
rnacentral:rRNA from 1 species